AAAGUCAACCGGAUAGUCGCGGAGGAGACCGCAAGGCCAACUCUGAGGAAAGUCCGAACUCCAUAGGGCAGGGUGCCGGGUAACGCCCGGGAGGAGAAAUCCUUAGGAAAGUGCAACAGAGAUAUACCGCCGUCCUUGGGACGGUAAGGGUGGAAAGGCGAGGUAAGAGCUCACCGGCAGCCAGGUAACUGGUUUGUCCUGCAAACCCCACCUGGAGCAAGACCAAAUAGGGGAACAUUGGAGCGGCCCGCUCCGUUCCCGGGUAAGGUCGCUUGAGGCUGCUGGUAACAGCAGUCCCAGAUAGAUGAUUAUCACCCGCAAGGGGACAGAAUUCGGCUUACAGGUUGACUUCCGCU
rnacentral:RNase_P_RNA from 2 species